GUGGGAGCUGGCUUGCCUGCGAUGGCGGUGGGCCAGUUGGCAUCUUUGGCACUGAUACACCGCUAUCGCAGGCAAGCCAGCUCCCAC
rnacentral:antisense_RNA from 1 species